UCAAACUUGGUCAUUUAGAGGAAGUAAAAGUCGUAACAAGGUUUCCGUAGGUGAACCUGCGGAAGGAUCAUUACUGAGCAAGGGUUUCAAUUCGAGCCCGACCUCCAAACCUAUGCCUACCUUACCAAUUGUUGCUUCGGCGAGCCCGCUUCGGCCGCCGGAGGGUCCUGCCCUCUGGUCAGUUGCUCGUCGACAGCCCCCAUUCAAACUCUUGUCAAUCAUGUUUGUCUGAAUUCCAAAUCAAAUCAAAACAAAACUUUCAACAACGGAUCUCUUGGUUCUGGCAUCGAUGAAGAACGCAGC
rnacentral:misc_RNA from 1 species